CUUUCUCCCUUAUAUUUUAUAUUCAGGCAGAUGCAUCUCGAUCUGAUUUCCAUCUCCCAGAUUCCAGAAACUUGAUGUGAUGAUGGAUUACUUUUAGUCGCCCUUCACGGCCACCUAUGAAAACACACUUCACUGCAUCUCGAACACAUCCAGGCAUGUAUGUAAACUGCUUUCUACAGCAGGGGUCAGACUAUAUUAAAACCAUCAAGAACCGCAUAGCAAGUAAAGAUAAUAAUCAAAUACCAAGUAAUGAGUGUUGCCGAGAAUCAUGCCUAGCUUUCUACCCAACUUGCAGCCUUUAUCUCCCCUGCUUGGGUCUCAAGGCAGACACAUAAUAGUACAGCUUGGAAUUUAGCCAGAUGCAUUGCAUCCUUGAACCAAUGAACAAUGCUGCAAUCCCAUCUACAUACUGGAAACGGCCACCAAUCCACCUUCUUCCUGAAAAUCAGAACAUAGAGGAACGGAGAGGAACAAACUGGAGAUAUAACGGGAGAUACACAUGAAGGCUGGCUUAUCUUCUUGGAGGUUCACG
rnacentral:lncRNA from 1 species